rnacentral:rRNA from 1 species
CCUACGGGAGGCAGCAGUGAGGAAUAUUGGUCAAUGGGCGCAAGCCUGAACCAGCCAUGCCGCGUGCAGGACGACGCAUCUAUGGUGUGUAAACUGCUUUUGUACGGGAAGAAACCCUGCCACGUGUGGCAGAUUGACGGUACCGUAAGAAUAAGGAUCGGCUAACUCCGUGCCAGCAGCCGCGGUAAUACGGAGGAUCCAAGCGUUAUCCGGAAUCAUUGGGUUUAAAGGGUCCGUAGGCGGUUUUAUAAGUCAGUGGUGAAAUCCGGCAGCUCAACUGUCGAACUGCCAUUGAUACUGUAGGACUUGAAUUAUUGUGAAGUAACUAGAAUAUGUAGUGUAGCGGUGAAAUGCUUAGAUAUUACAUGGAAUACCCAUUGCGAAGGCAGGUUACUAACAAUAUAUUGACGCUGAUGGACGAAAGCGUGGGGAGCGAACAGGAUUAGAUACCCUGGUAGUCCACGCCGUAAACGAUGGAUACUAGCUGUUCGGAUGCAAAAUCUGAGUGGCUAAGCGAAAGUGAUAAGUAUCCAACCUGGGGAGUUACGAACGUAAGUUUGAAACUCAAAUUGAAUUGACGG